GAGGUGGGAGGACUGCUUGAGCCUGGGAGGUCGAGGCUGCCGUGAGCCAUGAUCAUGCCACUGCACUCCAGCCUGAGUGACAGAGUGAGACCUUGUCUC
ensembl:miRNA